GUAGCAGGCGUUUAACUGACCCUUGCGAGAUUGGGCCGCCUGUGGUCGAAUGGGCAAUAAAUUUUAUCAGCUGCAUCAUAAUGAGAUAAGGAUAUAGCCUACAGUAUAUCAUAUCAUAUUACAGUAAAACAUAUUGACAUGCAUGGCAUUGCCAUUGGGACCGGGUGUAUCACUGUAUUUGUUUUAAUUAACACAGUUAAUCGAAAUCCACAACGAGUAUAGUCGAAAUUAUCUUCUUUAUCUUCGUGGUAACAUAAGCCAUACUAAAAAUCUCGCUAGUUGGGCAAUAUGAAAAAAAUAAAAAAUGCACAAAUUUGAGGUGUUAGAAAAACACGAGCCGUCCCCCCUGGAGAAAGACAACCUACCCCCCGGAUUGUUUACACCAUACCUGUCUCGAUUGAAUUUUCCCUAACCACAAUAGUUGCAAAUUGAAUUCUUCACUUUGCACUAAAAAUCCAAAACCAACCUGGAAACUUAUUAACGAAUUAAACUCUCGUAAUGCCUCUGGCCACAAAACUAUAUCCAAUAUCAAAGUGGGUGAAGAAACUAUAUAUACACCCAAGCAAAUAGCGGAGACAUUUAAUUCUCAUUUUGCUAGUGUGGGUGAAAAUUUAGCAUCCGAUAUACCACUCUCUACCGUAGAACCUGACGUAUACGUUGUGCCUGCUGAAACCACAUUUUCAAUGAAAUCCCUCACUGUACCGUAUAUGCAGUUUACAAAAAAUUAAAAGCAAUUAACGAAAGGAAAGCAGCUGGUCUUGAUAAAAUACCUUGCAAACUUUUAAGAAUUUCAGCUGAAAUAGUUGCCCCUUCUUUAACUCAAAUAUUUAAUAAGACUAUAAGUACAAGCACCUUUCCUACAGACUGGAAGCUAGCGAGAGUUACU